GAGCCAGCCUGUGCUGGGGAGGCCUGAGGAGGAGGUGGGGACGCAUCUAUGCUGAUGAGCUGCAGCCUCCUCAGGACCCGCAGGGAGUCUUCAGGGGGAAAUUGGGCCGUGAUCACACUGUCAGGAACCCCGGUCUCCUCAGGACCCAAGGUGAGGCUUUAGGAAAAUGUGGGCCCACAUCCACCCUGACAGGAGCCCCUGGGCGCCUCAGGACCCGCGGGGAACUUCAGGAAGAUGUGGGCUGACAUCCUCACUGACAGGAACCCUGAGCCUCCUCAGGACCGCCAGGAGGCUUCAGGAAUUGUGGUCCCACAUCCAUGUGGACAGGAGCCCUGAGCAACCUCAGGACUUGCGGGGAGGCUUCAGGAAAAUGUGGCACUGCGUCCACUCUGGCAGGAGCUCCUGGGCCCCUCAGGACGUAAGUUGAGACAUCUGGAAGCUGGGGGCCGCAUUCAUGGUUACAGGAGCCCCGGCCUCCUCAGAACCCUCAGUGAUGCUUCGGAAGGACUUGGGGCCACAUGGACACAACAGGACGCUGACUUCCUCAGGACCCCCGGUGUAGACUUUGGGAAAUAUGGGGAUGUGUCCAUGCGGACAAAAGUCCCCAGCCUUGUCAGAGCCUGUGGUGAGGCCUAAGAAAGAUGUGGAUGCCGAAUCCACACUGACAGGUUUCUCCGGCCUCCUUAGGAUGCACUGUGAAGGAUUGGGAUGAUUUGAGUCCACGUCCAUGCUGACAGGAGCCCCCAGCCUCCUCAGGUCUUAUGGUGAGGCUGAGGAAAAUGUGGGGUCACGUCAAGACUGAGAGGACCCCGUCCUCCUCAGGACUUGCACUUUGGCUUCGGGACACAUGGGGCUGCAUCAAGGCUGACAGGAACCCACAGCCUCUUCAGGAUGCGCGGUGAGUUUUCAGGGGAUGUGGGGCCAUGUCCAGGCUGACGGGAGCCCCCGGCCUCCUGAGAACCUGCUGUGAGGCUUCCAGAGGAUGUGAGGCAUACUCCACGGUGACAGGAGACCCGGCGUCCUCAGGACCCGCUGACUAUGACUCUGGAACACGUGGGGCCACGUGCGCACUCACAGGAGCCCAGCUUCCUCAGGACCCCCUAGAGGACUCUGGAGGCGCCAUUGGGGGCCACGUCCACAUCAGAAGGGACUACUCAGAACCACAGGGGGCCUGGGAUGGAUGGACCUGUUCGAACCCUGAACUUAAAGAGGAAAGACCUUCAUUUUCUUGGCCUCCUUGCAUCCCCUCCCAUCCUAUCUAGCUCUUUCCCCCUUCCCUGGAGCUCCUGAGAGAGCAAUUGCAAAUGACCUCAGCUUGGCUGGGUCUGUUGGGGGACAGGCCCAGGGAUUUGGGAUCAGGAAGACCUGGGGUGCGGGCAUACGGGCUGUGCAUCGGGAUUUGAUGCUGCAGACUCAUUCCCUAAGGCUAUCUUGACAACUGACUUUGUACAUAGAAAAGCUCUCCUUUAUCUUUAAAAGAUGAAGAGCCAGUCAAAGCCUUUUUUCUCUGCCCAUCUGAUUGCUCAGAUUCCAAUGUGAGACGUAUUUCCUGUUAAUAAGGAUAAUUUACUAUCCAUAGUACUAUGGUUAAAAUAUUCUGACACAAGCAAUUCAGAGGGAUGAGGGUUUCUCAUCUCUUUCUUCACAGCUCAGUCACUCCUCAGGAAAUGCAUCCUUAAUGGAUUUGGAAAGAACUGAGAGACAUUAUUACCAAUGGUCCUAUUAUUAUGUGAAGGAUCCUUCCCUGAGAUUCUUCCCCUGUUUCAACUGACACUGAAACGCUGUGAACUCUUUGCAAGACAAAUGUCAAGGAAAUAAAUGUUAUGCAUUGCUAAUUUUAAAUGCA
rnacentral:lncRNA from 12 species